AGCGAACGCUGGCGGCAGGCCUAACACAUGCAAGUCGAACGGACCCUUCGGGGUUAGUGGCGGACGGGUGAGUAACACGUGGGAACGUGCCUUUAGGUUCGGAAUAGCUCCUGGAAACGGGUGGUAAUGCCGAAUGUGCCCUUCGGGGGAAAGAUUUAUCGCCUUUAGAGCGGCCCGCGUCUGAUUAGCUAGUUGGUGAGGUAACGGCUCACCAAGGCGACGAUCAGUAGCUGGUCUGAGAGGAUGACCAGCCACACUGGGACUGAGACACGGCCCAGACUCCUACGGGAGGCAGCAGUGGGGAAUCUUGCGCAAUGGGCGAAAGCCUGACGCAGCCAUGCCGCGUGAAUGAUGAAGGUCUUAGGAUUGUAAAAUUCUUUCACCGGGGACGAUAAUGACGGUACCCGGGGAAGAAGCCCCGGCUAACUUCGUG
rnacentral:rRNA from 1 species